UAGUUUUAAGUAGGCUAUGAGACGUUUUAUGCUGUAAUCAAUAUUAUAAAUAUAUUAUAAAAGACUGUUUCAGUAUAAAUAUGUUUCUUCUAAUUGGAUAUUUUAUUUUUAAUUUUAUUUAUUUAUUUAUUUUUUUUGUUUCGUAUAAUAAAUACAUUUGUUUGUUCCUUUCUCCUCCCCAAGAAAGGAGUGAGAAAUUCGACAAAUUAAAGUUGUGUGUGUGGCUAGUUUUGUUUGUUGGGGAAUCGGUCGGUCUGUGGGAUGGCCACUGAUUAUGGGAAGGUGGAAAGGUGGGGGAUUGAGAAUAGAGGUCCAAUACCCAUUUGAGAACAGGUACUGAGUAGGUCGUUGCUUGGAGAAGGAUUUGGAAAUGAUGGACUACGGUACUGUUAUCAACCUGAGUGGUUGCCGGAAACAGAGGAUACAACUUUCCUGAGUGGCAGGGCUGUGUGUCAAGAUUGCGAUAUCUAUCUUCUUGAUCGUGCUGUUGAUGCUCACACUGGAUCGGAACUAUUUAAGUACAAUUAGGAAAGUAUGAUGGGCUUCUAGAUUCUGGAUUGGAUUUCGAGCACCAGUAACUAGCUGCCCACGAAACCUCCAUGGAUCAAUAACCCACAAAAAGGAAAAGUAAAUUCUCCAUGAACAACUGGAUAUGUAUCAUCUUCUAGCCAUGGGGAAGCCAAUGUUGAAAACAACUCUGUGGUCCAACUUAAGUCUGAGAAGGGGAUUCCGAAGCUCAUUAAUGAGGAAGAGAAAGAAAGUGGCAGGAAAAUAUUUAUCAGACGAAAAUAGGGAUGCAAAGAUAUCAUCGUGGGAUCUAUAAGUCCAUUACUAGCAUCGUCUGCUCAAGCAUGUCGCAGUUGGAUGAUAAAAAUCUUGUUUUCAGCAUGUUAGAGAAUAUAUUACUUAUUAUAGUACUUAAGCCUCCCCUAGAUGAUGCCUGUGAUAUGCUAAGAGUACUAAUCACACUGGACUCAAACUCCCACAAGACUUUCUCAACAGAGUAUUACAAGUCUAGUCAAUUUCCUUUCUGAGUAUCUUCUGAGUAUCUUAUUGAUGUUGUUCAUGUAAGUAUGUUUCUUGUCUAACAUCAAAUUUAAGCUGCAUUUUAUAUUAUUUAUUUAUUUACUUUUUGCUAAACAACUUUCUUAUUAUUUACUUGCUAUACAUGUUCAAUUCUACCUUUACGCUUCCCUCUUUCUUUGUUUGUUUUCAUUAUGGCCAAGUGGACAAAUAAGUGACUACAGAAUCAUGUUUCAACUUAAUAAGUAUGUUUUCAUGCUCCUAGCAUCUCCUUUUUUAUGGAAGUGAUUAUUGAGGAGCAUUAAUUCAGUUGUUCACACUUCGGAAAUGCUACUAUGAUAAUGUCUCCUGUUUCAUUCAGUUUUUAUGGCUCAAAAUAAGCUAUGAUGACUAUAAUUGUUACCUUUAUACCAAUAUAUGGUGUCCACACUCCUUAAUUUGGGAUUUUAGGAGGGUUGAUUACGUUAAUCUAGUGAAUGCACACACCAAUUAUUUAAGGACACAAGAAAAUUAUUUUAAUUUGAUGAGAUAAAAUUACGAAAUCACAUGGUAUCUGGUAUCUGCUGCCUUCUCAUUGUGUGAUAUCAACUUCUAUGCAUAGAUUGUAGUUAAGAUGCUUCUAGUAGUGUUUGGUCGCCUGCGAUGGGCUUGUGGUAGCAUAUAUUGUUGGAUGGGUUUCAGUAAAUUAGGAGUUUUCAUGUUAGUGUCUUUUUGACAUGAUUUCCACAUCCUGCUGUGUGAACUCAUGCACUGUAUCUUAGUGUGGUUAUUUUUCUGUUUUCCAUUUAUUUCUUUCCUGAGUAAGGUGUUCGCUCAUGUUAGCAUUUUAUGAUUCUAACUGAGGCUUGUAGUUAUUCGUGGUGAUGCCUUCUAAUGUAUUCGUUCCCGAAGAUGAGUCUAUACCUUGCUUUUUUCUUGUUUGAGAGAAGCCAUGUGCUUUUAAAUCUUGUUUUGAAAAUUUUUGGCUCAAUUAUUUCUUGUAAUCGUGGUCAAUAUGCAACAAAUCCUUCAAGUACAGUAGAUUCAAUUGUUUCUUUCCUUCUAUCGAUGCACAAGGAUGUUAAGAUUUGGCAAAUUAUAUCUUCGCUCAAGGCUGAUGUUGACAGUAUUUUGCAGAAUAUUAUUUGUUUGCAGUCAUCGGAGGAAAUCAGCUUGACCCUUGAAGAAGGACACAAAGUACAACGUGCUAUCAGUCAAUUGAAUAUUAUUAGCAGCACAACCGAGAAAGGGAAAAAAAUUUAUCUUUUUAAUGGUAUAUUAUUUUUUUAUCAAUAUUGUUAAUUAAUUUUGUUAAAUAUAUUUUGCAUUUAGUUUAUUUUUCCUGCUUUGCUUUGAAUAUAUAUAUAUAUAUAU